CCCAAGGAGUUCUGGAUUUUAAAGGGGCUUCAAAGAUAGAAAACUGUUCAAGGCACUCCACUCCGUUCUUCCCCAGAAAUAAAUGAUAAUUGGGCAGGUAGGGAAGGACCCCAGGGAGAAGCUGUGGCGCCGAUUCGGCCCCAGGGAGGUGAGCGUUUUCUGCCGCAGUGACAAUCCACCUGUGACCGUACCUGAAAAUAUUCUUACUGGAUGGAGCUUGGCUUCGUGCCAGCAGGACAGCAGCAGGACAAACACGGUCAUUCCUCUGUUCCCUGCCAUGUUCCCUCCAGCCGAAGGAGGAAGACCUUCCCCUGAAGGUCCUCAGCUUCACCCGCCUUGGUCUCCAGGAUACUGUGGAAUGUCCGGGGACCUGUGACAUCAUGUCGGGAAGGAGCUGAGUCCUGCUCAUCUCCUGGAAGCUUAUUAGAGAUGCAGUCUUGGGGACCGGCUUGGAUCUCUUGAAUUAGAAUCUGCAUCUGCACCAGCUCUCCAGGAGAUACACGUGCACAAUAAAUUUGGGAAGCUCUGGGCUACAGCAGUGGUUACAGUGGCUCUGUCACCACCACUGUAAAGUUUUGUCAACCUAAAUAAAGGGGUAAACUGAGACAAAUUCGAAUGACCAGACGCUGCGUUCAUUCAGGAACAGCAGAGGGAUUGCAGUUGGGGAGACGCAUGCUUGGAGCAAGUGGCAAGGAGUCUGUGGAAGGUCCUGGGUGGCUGCAUUCAUGGAUGGGAGUGCAAAGAGGAGGCGUCUACCCCAAGUCCCAGCCAGGAGUUCCCUGGCUUAAGGUUGGAGACAGACUCUUGGCAGGCGCUCAUUGAUCAGGAGCUGAGACUGUGCGUGACCCAGCUUCCCAGGUCCAUCUCCCUGGGGCCCAGGAGGUCAGAGCAUCGAGGAAAGCCACCGGAGAGUACCAGCCCACACCGUUGAGAAUCUGGAUUUGGUGUCUUGAAGAGACAAGGAAAGCCCACGUCUAAACCCAGAGCGCACGGAGGCUCUGGGCUGGACGCGCUCAGCGGCGGUGGCGCGGGUGGUGUUCGUGCUGCUGGCUCUCACGUGCUGUGUCCUCUCACGGUUCAGUGUCGCCUCCCCAGCUCCCGUGCCUCUGUUUGCCUCCUGCUUCCCGUCAUGGCCUUCACCUCUUUGGCAAGUGCUCGUCCACCGACCCGGCCAGCUGCUUCCCUGCGCCGCCCUAGAAACAAACGGCUCUCCCGGCCCCGGCCAGGCGGGAACCUGGCUCGCUCCGCUCGCUCGCGGUGUUGGCGCCCCUGGAGUCCCGGCUGGAGUCCCAGGGCGUUUGGGGUCCUCUUGCACUCCGAGGUUCUGAGCCUGCCUGUGCCCGUGUCCUGCGUUUCCCCAAUGGUCCUGUCUGUCCCUGCCACCGGCCUGUCGCUGCUCUGUCCCCUGGACUGCGAGCCCAGUGAGGCUGCUGCCUCAGGCUGCGGGGACAGUCGCUCCGUGCUGCCCCAUCGCCCCCCCUACUGUUUCCAGGACACAUCUCUAUGUGUUCUUGGUCAAGGGCUCCGUGGACCUGUGCCCUUUAUGAAAUGGAACUGUAGUGGUGUGACUGGGAACGGUCCACGGGCCCUGUGUGCAGAGAAGCCAUGUAUCCAGUCGAACAGGCUCCUUGCCUGGCUCCCAGGCCACAGGGUUGACCAAAAUUUCUGUGGGCUGGGCGGAUGCCGGAGCCCAGGCAGCAGGGAGGACACUGUGGGCCAGACAGCGUGGCUGGGCCUGGCCCUGAGGGCAGUACCUCUGCUCUUGCCUCUUCGUUGCAGGGUAGAAAGGUGAGCUGGUCCAACACCUCUGCGGACUUUAGAAUUCAACCCUAGCCUCAGAAGGAUUUCUAAAGCCCACUGUAAAAAUUGAGAUCUUUUUGCAGAUGCAGCUCCUAAAUCCUUUGCUUCUUGCUCCUUCCCCCCACUCCCUCCCUCCAUUCCCCCCACCCCCCAAAUGGCCACUAUGGUCAAAAGGCAAAGUCCUGCUGGUGAAUAAGCAGCUGAUUUUGACAUCUGAAAACCAGCAGAAAUUGGAACUCUACAAUGAAUCGUUGAAUAAACAAAUGAAUUUA